UGCAAGUCGAACGAUGAAGCUCUCUGCUUGCAGAGAGUGGAUUAGUGGCGAACGGGUGAGUAACACGUGGGUAACCUGCCCAUAAGAGGGGGAUAACAUUCGGAAACGGAUGCUAAUACCGCAUAUGUCUUUGAGACGCCUGUCUCUUAGACGAAAGGUGGCUUCGGCUGCCGCUUAUGGAUGGACCCGCGGCGUAUUAGCUAGUUGGUGAGGUAAUGGCUCACCAAGGCAUUGAUACGUAGCCGACCUGAGAGGGUGAUCGGCCACACUGGGACUGAGACACGGCCCAGACUCCUACGGGAGGCAGCAGUAGGGAAUCUUCCACAAUGGGUGAAAACCUGAUGGAGCAAUACCGCGUGAGUGAAGAAGGUCUUCGGAUCGUAAAGCUCUGUUGUUAGAGAAGAACAAGUCGGGUAGUAACUGCCCCGACCUUGACGGUAUCUAACCAGAAAGUCACGGCUAACUACGUGCCAGCAGCCGCGGUAAUACGUAGGUGACAAGCGUUGUCCGGAUUUAUUGGGCGUAAAGCGAGCGCAGGCGGUCUUUUAAGUCUGAUGUGAAAGCCCACGGCUCAACCGUGGAGGGUCAUUGGAAACUGGAAGACUUGAAUGCAGAAGAGGAAAGUGGAAUUCCAUGUGUAGCGGUGAAAUGCGUAGAUAUAUGGAGGAACACCAGUGGCGAAGGCGACUUUCUGGUCUGUAAUUGACGCUGAGGCUCGAAAGCGUGGGGAGCGAACAGGAUUAGAUACCCUGGUAGUCCACGCCGUAAACGAUGAGUGCUAAGUGUUGGAGGGUUUCCGCCCUUCAGUGCUGGAGCUAACGCAUUAAGCACUCCGCCUGGGGAGUACGGCCGCAAGGCUGAAACUCAAAGGAAUUGACGGGGACCCGCACAAGCGGUGGAGCAUGUGGUUUA
rnacentral:rRNA from 1 species